rnacentral:misc_RNA from 1 species
CCAAUAGCGUAUAUUAAAGUUGUUGCAGUUAAAAAGCUCGUAGUUGAAUUUCGGGAUUGACGUGAUGGUCAUGCCUUAAGGGGUAUGAACUGUUGCUGUUGAUUUCUCACCUUCUGGAGAAACUUGAUGUCCUUUAUUGGGUGUCUUGCGGAUCCAGGACCUUUACCUUGAAAAAAUUAGAGUGUUUAAAGCAGGCAUUUUUGCUCGAAUACAUUAGCAUGGAAUAAUAGAAUAGGACGGCAUGGUUCUAUUUUGUUGGUUUCUAGGAUCACCGUAAUGAUUAAUAGGGAUAGUUGGGGGCAUUAGUAUUCAAUUGUCAGAGGUGAAAUUCUUGGAUGUAUUGAAGACUAACUACUGCGAAAGCAUUUGCCAAGGAUGUUUUCAUUAAUCAAGAACGAAAGUUAGGGGAUCGAAGACGAUCAGAUACCGUCGUAGUCUUAACCAUAAACUAUGCCGACUAGGAAUCAGACGAUGUUAAUUUUUUAAUGACUCGUUUGGCACCUUACG